rnacentral:rRNA from 1 species
UCCUACGGGAGGCAGCAGUGAGGAAUAUUGGUCAAUGGGCGAGAGCCUGAACCAGCCAAGUCGCGUGAGGGAAGACGGUCCUAUGGAUUGUAAACCUCUUUUGUCGGGGAGCAACGGGGCAGUGUUGUGCCCUCUGAGAGUACCCGAAGAAAAAGCAUCGGCUAACUCCGUGCCAGCAGCCGCGGUAAUACGGAGGAUGCGAGCGUUAUCCGGAUUUAUUGGGUUUAAAGGGUGCGUAGGCCGAAGAUUAAGUCAGUGGUAAAAUUGCGGGGCUCAACCUCGUAUCGCCAUUGAAACUGGUUUUU